AUGUUAACGGCAUAGUUGGGGUUAAGCCACUUAGUCAUGAAGGCAAGUGUAUGCGCAACAAGGAAUCUCUAAUCCUCGAUAAGAGAGAAAGAAUACUCUAAGAUAUGAUUCGGGAAUCUUCGGCCGAAAUAUCGAGGGUAAUAAAGGAAAGCGUUCCUAUACGACUCAAUUGGAUCAUAUAAGAAGGAAUAAUCACAUUAGGGGUUUGACAUGAUAUAUCCAUACCCUAAUGAUGUGAUUGAGAGUAUUGUAUUAGAGAAUGAUUGAAUUACAUUGUAAUUCCAACUGACUAGGUUCUUCGAAUAAACUUCUACAUUAGCUUGGGUAGCUAUGA
rnacentral:lncRNA from 1 species